GACGAACGCUGGCGGCGUGCCUAAUACAUGCAAGUUGAGCGCUGAAGGUUGGUACUUGUACCAACUGGAUGAGCAGCGAACGGGUGAGUAACGCGUGGGGAAUCUGCCUUUGAGCGGGGGACAACAUUUGGAAACGAAUGCUAAUACCGCAUAAAAACUUUAAACACAAGUUUUAAGUUUGAAAGAUGCAAUUGCAUCACUCAAAGAUGAUCCCGCGUUGUAUUAGCUAGUUGGUGAGGUAAAGGCUCACCAAGGCGAUGAUACAUAGCCGACCUGAGAGGGGGAUCGGCCACAUUGGGACGGAACCCCGGCCCAAACUCCUACGGGAGGCAGCAGUGGGGAAUCUUCGGCAAUGGACGAAAGUCGGACGAGCAACGCCGCGUGAGUGAAGAAGGUUUUCGGAUCGUAAAACUCUGUUGGUAGAGAAGAACGUUGGUGAGAGUGGAAAGCUCAUCAAGUGACGGUAACUACCCAGAAAGGGACGGCUAACUACGUG
rnacentral:rRNA from 1 species